GUCAACUAUAUGAUAAGCUUCUGCCCAAUAAGCAGUGGAAUGUUGGUAAUGCUGCUAGACAAUUUUGACCUCCCCAUGAUACAGCAAAAUAUUUGGUUCAACACCUGUCAGGUCUUGAGGUUGCCUGACUAGAGGUUCAAUGUGUAGAAGAGUUAAGUUAAUUUUGUUUGCCAUAUCUUUAUUAUAGGAAAUCCAUGAGCCAAAAAGAAUCUAGCUUGAGUUUCAAAUUUCAUGUUGAGUUUGUAGGGCUUGCAAUUGGGGGAGGGGGGGAUUACAACCAUCUGAUUUCAAAGUUGUACUACACUUUGAGGAGAAUACCAGAGGAGAAUACCAUGUCUACUUGUUAAUUUCAUGUUGAAAUAGGGCUCCACCAAAGACUAAGUCUUUUAUAUUGCAGAAAUCAACAGGUACCGUGAAUGAAAAUGGAGAGAGGCUUCACUCUUGUGUUCUCAUUACUCUAUCAUUGUUUGUCUUUUCCUAACUGACGUCGGCAUUAAGGUCUCCCAUGAACAGUUAGGUCAUGGUGUGGUACUUUCUAACUCUGCCUAUAAUGUAAAGUAGAAUUUGUCCUUUACUUCUUCAUCACUGUUGGCACAUAGAACUGAAUCAGACUGCUAUUACUGUGUUUCCCUUUCAGUCUGGCUCUCAUAAAUCUGCUGUUUCUGGACUUCCACUCAAGCAGGGAAUGCUUCAUUCCCUUCUUCAAAAGGAUGGUGACAGGCUCAUGGUAUUGUUCAUAAUCCCAUUCAGAACUGUUAAUCUUCCUAAUCCCAUACUGCUGUUCUCGCUAACACCCCUGGAUGUGUAAGAUGUUACAUCUCAUUCUCAUCUGUGAACUGAGCUAGCUUCCCUGUUUCAUACAUUAUCUUCAUAUUAUCUUCAAACAAGUUUGGAUAUUGUCUUAGUAUUGAGCACUACAGUUUUUGUGCAAGUAGCUUCCUUUUGACUGGCUACUCCUCCACAGAAAAAUCUGGCAUAGCUGAACAUAUCAGGAUCAAAAAACAACCUACCGACGUGGAUUUAUGGGGAUUGUUAGAGCAUGCAAGCUGUUAUGACCUGGCAUGGACACCAGAGAACACUGUUCUCCAAACAUUAAGGAUAAGAACAGGACUGACCAUGAAAUAAUCAAAUGGCGAUGCUCAAAGACAAAUCUGAAAGUGAGAAGGAGUACAGAUGUUGGAAGUGACUGCCACCUUAUGACAGCCUCCAUCAAGCUAAAACUGGUAAAUUUGGCUCCACCAAACAAGGGACAUAGACAAGCCAGUCUUCCGAAAUACAGAAAGCAUUCAUUCUGCAGUUACAGAACAGGUGUCAGGCACUUGCGGACCUUGAUGAAGAGAAGGUGAGUGGAGAUGAGGAGAUCAACAAGAAGUCAGACAAAGUAAUAGCGAUUUAUAAACAGAGAAGAAAAGCCUGUCUACGCUACAGGCAGUAGAGAUGGAAGAAGUGAAUUAUGCUGAACAUAUGGAACACCAUGGAAACCAGAUGAGCCCUGAAGAAAAAAAAUUUAGAUACAAAAUCCCAGAAGAUGAAGGCAUAUAAACCGUAUAGCAAGGCACACUGUGAAGUCAGAUGCCUUGUGAGAAUGGACAAGUGACAUUAUAUUGAUAAUAUGGCAACACAAGCAGAAGAUGCAGAUGGUGGUGGUGGACAAGGAACUGUCUACAAAAGAAUGCAGCUUAUCCAUCGUAAACCAUUAAUACCCACAAACAUUCAUCAGGGACAACAAAGCCAUCUAAAAGCAAAAAACCCCCACAAAACACAUCAUUUCAUACAAUUGCAGAAGCUACCUAAAGAGGCAGCAAUCAUUCAGGAGGCAGAAAAUUUUGGUAUCAACACAGACAUCCCAACUAAAGAAGAGAUCAUUCAAGCCAUCAAAUCCUUAAAAAAUGGGAAAGCUCCUAGAAAGGAUAACUUGAAUGCAGAUUUGUUCAAAGUGAAUGCUGAGUUAGCAGCAUCUAUCCCAGUCCCUCUAUUUACAUCAGUCUGGUAAAGGGAAAAAAUGCCAGAUCAAUAGGAUUAUAGUGAAGAUACAAAAAAAAGGAACUCUGAGGCUGUGUCUACACUACACAGUUCUAUAGGAAAAAGAUAUCUUUUUCCGAUUCUUUUUUCGGAAGAGGCUUUUCCAACAUUUGGCCUGUCUACACUGGGCCAAAUGUUGGAAAAAAAACCCCUCUCUCGAAACAUCCCUUCUUCCUUGUAAAAUGAGGUUUAACAGGGAUGUUGAAAAAAUCUGUGUGCUUUUCUGAAGAGGCAGUUGAUAGCAUUCUCAGAAAAAAGCAAGUCAGUUUUUGGAACUGGUGGGAAUGCACAGACCAGAUCUUCACUCUACAAAACAUAAUAGAAGAGUUAUUCACCUGGUGCAGUAAUGUGUUCUUCGAGAUAUGCAUCCCUGUGGGUGCUCCACUGAAGAACAAUACUUUGAAUGGUAAUGGCAACUCUCAUAAACUUCAUAGACUUUGAGAAAACUUUGAUAGCAUUCACAGGAUCAGCCUAUGACACAUUCUGUGAGCAUAUGGAAUCCCUCUCCAUAUAAACAUUACCAAACAUCUAUUUUAAUAGUGUUGAUCACAGUGAGCUCAGUUUUGAAGUCAAAACAGGAAUACAUCAGGGAUGUGUCAUGUCAGCAAUCCUCUUAAACAAUGCCAUUGGCUA